rnacentral:rRNA from 1 species
GACGAACGCUGGCGGCGCGUCUUAAGCAUGCAAGUCGAACGGUAAGGGAGAGCUUGCUCUCCCCUAGAGUGGCGGACUGGUGAGUAACGCGUGGGUGACCUGCCCUGAAGAUGGGGAUAGCUAGUAGAAAUAUUAGAUAAUACCGAAUGUGCUCAUUUACAUAAAGGUAAAUGAGGAAAGGAGCUACGGCUCCGCUUCAGGAUGGGCCCGCGUCCCAUUAGCUGGUUGGUGAGGUAAAGGCCCACCAAGGCAACGAUGGGUAUCCGGCCUGAGAGGGUGAACGGACACAUUGGGACUGAGAUACGGCCCAAACUCCUACGGGAGGCAGCAGCUAAGAAUCUUCCGCAAUGGACGAAAGUCUGACGGAGCGACGCCGUGUGAAUGAAGAAGGCCGAAAGGUUGUAAAAUUCUUUUGCAGAUGAAGAAUAAGAAGAAGAGGGAAUGCUUCUUUGAUGACGGUAGUCAUGCGAAUAAGCCCCGGCUAAUUACGUGCCAGCAGCCGCGGUAACACGUAAGGGGCGAGCGUUGUUCGGAAUUAUUGGGCGUAAAGGGUAUGUAGGCGGUUAGGUAAGCCUGGUGUGAAAUCUACGAGCUCAACUCGUAAACUGCAUUGGGUACUGCUUGACUUGAAUCACGGAGGGGAAACCGGAAUUCCAAGUGUAGGGGUGGAAUCUGUAGAUAUUUGGAAGAACACCGGUGGCGAAGGCGGGUUUCUGGCCGAUGAUUGACGCUGAUAUACGAAGGUGCGGGGAGCAAACAGG